AGAUUGAACGCUGGCGGCAUGCCUUACACAUGCAAGUCGAACGGCAGCACGGGAGCAAUCCUGGUGGCGAGUGGCGAACGGGUGAGUAAUAUAUCGGAACGUGCCCAGUCGUGGGGGAUAACGCAGCGAAAGCUGUGCUAAUACCGCAUACGAUCUCUGGAUGAAAGCGGGGGACUCAGCAAUGGGCCUCGCGCGAUUGGAGCGGCCGAUAUCAGAUUAGCUAGUUGGCGGGGUAAAAGCCCACCAAGGCGACGAUCUGUAGCUGGUCUGAGAGGACGACCAGCCACACUGGAACUGAGACACGGUCCAGACUCCUACGGGAGGCAGCAGUGGGGAAUUUUGGACAAUGGGCGAAAGCCUGAUCCAGCAAUGCCGCGUGCAGGAUGAAGGCCUGGUUGUAACUGUCUUUGUACGGUAACGAAACGGUACGUACUUUAAUUAAAGGUAGGACUAAUGAACGUACGUAAGAAAUAAGACACCGACGUAACUAACGUAGACCG
rnacentral:rRNA from 1 species